rnacentral:rRNA from 1 species
GACGAACGCUGGCGGCGUGCUUAACACAUGCAAGUCGAACGGAAAGGCCCUGCUUUUGUGGGGUGCUCGAGUGGCGAACGGGUGAGUAACACGUGAGUAACCUGCCCUUGACUUUGGGAUAACUUCAGGAAACUGGGGCUAAUACCGGAUAGGAGCUCCUGCUGCAUGGUGGGGGUUGGAACGUUUCGGCGGUUGGGGAUGGACUGGCGGGUUAUCAGCUUGUUGGUGGGGUAGUGGCUUACCAAGGCUUUGACGGGUAGCCGGCCUGAGAGGGUGACCGGCGACAUUGGGACUGAGAUACGGCCCAGACUCCUACGGGAGGCAGCAGUGGGGAAUAUUGCACAAUGGGCGCACGCCGGAUGCAGAAACGCCGCGUGCGGGAUGACGGCCUUCUGGUUGUAAACCGCUUUCGCCUGUGACGAAGCGUGAGUGACGGUAAUGGGUAAAGAAGCACCGGCUAACUACGUG